rnacentral:lncRNA from 1 species
AUAACGGCGACCGUGAAGACUUUUAAAAUAGAGACCAACGUGGCCGGGCAGGAAGAGCAGGGUCCCGCCUUCAGGUGUUUGGGACUCAGCUGAGGGUGUGGGUGCCCCGCGGUGGGGGCUGAACCUUCCUGGGGUGUGGAGAGACGAAAGGAGCCCAGAUCCAAGUUCCCUCGUUCCCGCUUUGGCAUAAGUUGCCCUGGCGGUCUCAUGAGAGAGAGAAAGAGCUGGGACCCUCCUCGCCCCAGUGAGUGUGAUGUCUUGCUCCGGGUGUCCUGGGGCAACUUUCUAUACAGGCGGGACGUGGGAGGAUCAGACAGUGUAACAUCAGACAAGGGUGUUGACUCUGCAGCACAGAACCAGUAGUUUGUGGAGAAGAAUGGAGGUGUGGUGUUGAAUCUGCUAGACAGGCUACUGAAGCAAAAGUCAAGAGAUCCAGAUUCCAUCAUGGGGACACUUUAGUUCUUCAUCGGGUAAUUGAGCUGAUAUCAGGUGUCUGAAGGAGGCAAGUUUUGAAGAUGUGGGUCAUGAUGGCUGCUGAAGCUUCCACUCCAUAUUUGAAGGUCAGCAGUUCUCAGGAAACCUCUAGCACUUCCAUCCCUGGUGGGAUGUGAUGCCUGUCUCAGUGUAACAUCAGAGAAGGGGUGUACUCUGUGCCCUAGAACUAGGAGCUAACAGAGAAAAACCAAAUGUGAUGUGGAGUCUGCUAGACAGGCUACUGGAGCAAGAGUGAAGCGAUGAAAGUCUCAUCAUUGGGACAUAUUAGUGUGACAUGCAUAAAGGAAUUUCUUAUUGAGCCCCAGGAAGAAGAAACACUACAUAAGAGCAAAUAAUAAAAUCGGUCAGAUAGACAGAAGAUGGGAGUCAUCAAACCUGUAUCCCUCUUGCCAGACCUAUCAACUGACCAUACGUCAUUCAGGCACAAUUAUUUUAUCUUGGAACCAACAAUCUUCGGAGAAUGUAUCCCAAAGAUACAAUUCAAAAAGAUAAAAAGGCAGAAGCACAAGGUCAUUCUUGGCAGAACAAAUUGUAACAGCAGAAGACUGGAAAUAAGACAGAUGUCCACCAAUAAAGGACUGACUGAAUAAUCUAAGGUGCAUCUACAUCCUAGAUUUCAAUGCCGGUAUAACAAGCAAGGAAGAUUCCCUCUCUCUGCUGCUAUGUAGUGAUUUCCAGGAUAUACCAUUAAGUGAAUAAAGCAAAGUGCAGAAAAA